AACGAACGCUGGCGGCAGGCCUAACACAUGCAAGUCGAACGUGAAGCCACCUUCGGGUGGUGGAAAGUGGCAGACGGGUGAGUAACGCGUGGGAACGUGCCUUUCGGUUCGGAAUAACCCAGGGAAACUUGGGCUAAUACCGGAUACGCCCUUCGGGGGAAAGAUUCAUCGCCGAAAGAUCGGCCCGCGUCGGAUUAGCUAGUUGGUAGGGUAAUGGCCUACCAAGGCGACGAUCCGUAGCUGGUCUGAGAGGAGGACCAGCCACACUGGGACUGAGGCACGGCCCAGACUCCUACGGGAGGCAGGAGUGGGGAAUAUUGGACAAUGGGCGAAAGCCUGAUCCAGCCAUGCCGCGUGGGUGAAGAAGGCCCUAGGGUUGUAAACCCCUUUCAGCGGGGAAGAUAAUGACGGUACCCGCAGAAGAAGCCCCGGCUAACUCCGUGCCAGCCGCCGCGGUAAUAC
rnacentral:rRNA from 1 species